UUUUUAAGUCUCUUAAUCCAGGGGUUAUUUCUCUCUCUCUCUCUCUUUUUUUUUUUUUUUUUUAGCUUGUAGUUUUUUUCUUUUGGUGAGAAAAUAGGGUCCUUUUCCUAUAGAAGUAAAACAGUCUUUUUGGGGAUAACAUCUUAGCAUCAUUUUGUUCCUGAGUAAUAACCAAGACGUAUCCCACCUGCUUGGUCAUAUCUACUUCUGAAUCUUCCUAGUCCUGAGUUUCCCUUCAAGCGCUUCCAAUUUGUGCAUUUUACCAGCCUCCCAACAAUAUCUGACCUCCCAUCAAAGAGUAGGGCCACCAAAACUAGGACUCUAGAAUGAACCCUUUGCAGAAGAGUAAGCAUUGUCCUAUAUAUGGUUUGGUGAAUCACAAUACUGUAUACAGAUAGUUCAGUUGUUAGGAAGCAUCAUUUUCAAAAGCUAAAUGUCCACUUUCCAUCUAAAACUUCAUCAUAUUUACCCCUGCAAGUCAUUUGGACUGGAAAAAAGAAUGAGGGAGAAUUUUCACCCAUUUCACCUAUUUCAAAACCUGGACAAUUGAAGAAAUCAAGUACAAAAAAUACAAUGAGAAACAAUUAGGAUAUCAUCCUGUUACUUGGCAGCGUUAAACUUUAGAUUUUCAACAUUGUGUAUUUAGAUUAGACAAGAUUAUGGUCUCUCUUACCAAAAUAGAAUUAGCAUAGAGUCAAGCAAAUUAGUAGAACAAAAAGAAAAGAAGAAAAUAUGUGUUAGGAAAUAAGGACAAAUAAGAGGAAUAGAAAGAGAAAACAAGUUACUUUAGGGGUCAACUGUUCUAUCACAACUCAGAAAGUCUAGACUAGAGAGCGAUUUAGAAACUUGCGCUUUUUCCUCUCUUCAGCGCGGGGCGCCCACAACUUGCGCGCUCUCUUUUUGCUGCUUCCCAGCUCUCGGAUACAGCCGACACCAUGGGUUUCGGAGACCUGAAAAGCCCCGCCGGCCUCCAGGUGCUCAACGAUUACCUCACGGACAAGAGCUACAUCGAGGGGUAUGUGCCAUCACAAGCAGAUGUGGCAGUAUUUGAAGCCGUGUCCGGCCCACCGCCUGCCAACUUGUGUCAUGCCCUACGUUGGUAUAAUCACAUCAAGUCUUACGAAAAGGAAAAGGCUAGCCUGCCAGGAGUGAAGAAAGCUUUGGGCAAGUAUGGUCCUGCCGAUGUGGAAGACACUACAGGAAGUGGAGCUACAGAUAGUAAAGAUGAUGAUGACAUUGAUCUCUUUGGAUCUGAUGAUGAGGAGGAAAGUGAAGAAGCAAAGAGGCUAAGGGAAGAACGUCUUGCACAAUAUGAAUCAAAGAAAGCCAAAAAACCUGCACUUGUUGCCAAGUCUUCCAUCUUACUAGAUGUGAAACCUUGGGAUGAUGAGACAGAUAUGGUGAAAUUAGAGGAGUGCGUCAGAAGCAUUCAAGCAGAUGGCUUAGUCUGGGGCUCAUCUAAACUAGUUCCAGUGGGAUACAGAAUUAAGAAACUUCAAAUACAGUGUGUAGUUGAAGAUGAUAAAGUUGGAACAGAUAUGCUGGAGGAGCAGAUCACUGCUUUUGAGGACUAUGUGCGGUCCAUGGAUGUGGCUGCUUUCAACAAGAUCUAAAAUCCAUCCUGGAUCAUGGCAUUUAAAUAAAAGCUUGAAAGAUUAAAAAAAAAAAAAAAAAAA